GCAUUCGUUAAAUAUUCGUCUUGAAUAUAUAAUUUCAAAGGGUUAAAGUGAGGAUCGAAAUUCCUGGGCAUAUUAAGUAUGUUGCGCACGUGUUAAGUCUCCGACGUAUAUAGAAAGAAGGUCGAGAUAAUUUAAAAAGGGAAGUUUACAUUUACGCAACGUCAUUACGAUGCUCAAACGGAUUAGAAAAUAAAAGAAAGUUAGUUAAGUCUAGUAUCGGAAUAUUCUAGUUAUUUUAGUCAACAAAAGGCGAAUCUGAUUGGUAUCGUAUAUUUUAUAAUUCAAUGACGUUACGCGUAACACUUUGUAGAGAGUUUCUCGUAUCGAAAGAAAAAAAAAAAAAAAAAAAUAAGCAAGAGUUGAUAGGAUCGUAGGACAGCGAAAUCCGGCUACAUUUGUUAUAUGUUGCCAUUAAUUCCGAAGAAAUGAAAAAAUUAUCAAUAUCCGUGCUGGAGUCGUGCUCGGUUACUCGUAAAACUUCGAGCAAAGAAUUCGCGAAAAAACUCGCGUACGAAUAAUACUGACGCAGUUAAAGAGCGAUUAUGUUUAUAUUACUCGACGGCUAUCUAAGUAUCGAGACGUGUGAGUAUUUGAAAAAAAAGAAAAAAUAAAAAAAAGGAAAAAGGAAAAAAAGAAAAGAAAAAGAAAAAAAGCGGUCUAACCAUUUCCGAGCAUAGCUGCAACGAGCUAGGCAAGCGAUUAAGGAAACGAAGAAGUGAAAGGAGGACCGUAAUCUGCGUGCACUGGUUCGAUAAAUCGUGGUUAGAGAUGCGCGUACGAUCGACGACCUCUCUCUAGCUCAAGCCAGUAGAGUACUGAAAAAGGAAGCGCGAGGGUGUACCUUCUCCGUUCGGAGGAAAGCCUGCCACUCGUGGCGCUGAGACGAGUGAUAUCCUCUACGCGAGAAGGACGACGACGACGACGACGACGACGACAACGACGAUGACAAGGAUAAAGAUGACGAUGACGGUGGCGGCGACGACGACGACAACGACGACGACGACGACGACGGCGGCGACGAUGACGAUGAUAACAACGAUGGGGUAACGCCCGCGCAGAGUAGAGCGCACAGUACGCGUUCGGAUCGUCUCCAAGGCGAGCCUAGAAGCUCUACGAGCUCCUCCAUCCUUGGCUUUCUGCCUUUCUCGACGAUAUCGACGAGGGGCCUAUCGGGCCCUCUCGCGACGUCACCGUUGCCGUCGUCGUCGCCAGGGACGACGCCGGGGACGUUAGAAACGAAAGGAACGCUGCCACGACGACGACGCCUUCUUGCGUUGGUCCCGAUCGCGCACACGCUUCCCUCCCGACGACGACGACAACAACGACGAUGACGACGAUGAUUGACAAAGAAAAAAAAAAAAAAAAAAAAAAAAAAAAAAAGAAAAGAAAAGAAAAGAAAAGAUAUAUGACAGCGUCGUCAAAAACGAACGAACGCACCGCGUAAAUGAGGGACGGAAAACCGAGCGUGCGUGCGACGGACGUUUGGAAAAAGGAAGGAAACAAAAGUGAAUAAAGAGAAUGUAUUUCUCUGUGUGUAUGUGUGAGUGUAUUUGUGUUUGUAUGAGAAAAAGAGAGAGAGAGAGAGAGAGAGAGAGAAAGAGAGAGAAUGAAAAAUAAGAAAUCGGUUCGGUAGCGCAACGCCACCCCCGUCGACGACAAUGCACGUCGGCCGGCCGGCCGCUAUGCACACACUGAGCCCGUACCAAAGCGUCCAGCCGCCGAGACUCGGUCGACGCUCGCCGUCGGUUACGCUCGGCCACUUCCGCCGUUCAACUUCGGUCGACUUCGGACGCUCGACCACGCUUCCCGGUUGUACUCCCUCGCCCCCCACCACAUUACUCUCGUUCGCUUCUUACACGAUACAUCCGCAACAGCACGCACGGAACUUUUCAAUACGCGACAGACUCUCGUCGCGAAAGUGUUUGUUCUGGGGUUGCGACCUCUACGAUACUCUCUCUCUUUCUCUCUUUCUCUCUCUCUCUCUCUCUCUCUCUCUCUCUCUCUCUCUCUCUCUCUCUCUCUCUCUCUCUUUCUUCAAGCAUGUCACACCUUUCCCUUCACGUUUCCCCUAUGCGGGAAUCUAACGUACGGGAAUCAACAAAAAAAUAAGAUUGAUAAGAGGGAUGUGGGAAGUAAGAAAAUAGAAAAUGGAGAGAGGAUCGAUGCAUAUUCCUUUCCGUAUUCUAUACAUGUACUUGACCGCGAUGAUGUUCAAAGUUGUAUAUAUAUACAUAUACACGGUAUUUACGUAUGUACGCACAACGACAACAACGACGAUCUAACGGGUUAUCCAUACAUAUGUUACACGAUACUGCUUGUCUUGUGAAUUAAAUGCCACUAUCUAUGGAAAUUCAAAUAUACCUUCGAUCCAUCUUGGCGUUGGAUAUUGCAAAAAAUUAUUUCAACUCUAUCGAGAGAUAUGAAAGAAUGAAUGUACAAAAAAAAAAAAAAAAAAAAGAAAAAAAGAAAGAACAAAACGAUCCGUCUUUACAUUAGAGCACCGAUAUCAUCUUUCUCUCUGCGAAAGAAAUGUUUCUUUAUUAUGUAUCCGAACGGUUGGUUCGAGAACUGGGGAUACGUAUGCAACGAGCUCAUGGAAUCGCUGUAAAAAAAGGCCACGAUAAAUGAUAUCACUUUUCAGGGAAUCGUUGAUUGUCCGUGAUUACUUUUUCAUCUCUUUUACAUAUUCACUCGUACUUAUUGUUAAAAAAUGUUACAUUCUUUUUAUCGAAAGGAAAAAAGUUUAUGAGAAACUUAUACGAGAUGCAAAACUGCAUAAAUCUCAUCCAUUUUCUCGCAUUAUCCAAAGAAGAAAAAGAAGAAAAAGAAGAAGAAGAAGAAGGAAAAAAAAAGAAAAAAGAAGGAAAGAAAUUUAUUAAUAGAGGCGGGACGGUAAGGUAGGAGAAGACAAGUUACUUACUGCGCUCUGUAAUCAAAAACACUGAAAGGUAAUGAGAAGAAUAAUUCAUCGUGUGAGAGAAUACGUCGGAGGGUGAGAGGUGGUAGGUGGAGAAGUAGAAAAAAGAUAUAAGAGAUGACGGAAGAAGAACGGAGAAGUGUACCUCAUUAACCUUUCUCUCGAUUCGCGAGUAACACUUGGAAAUAGGCCACGCUUGCAAAUCGUUCCAUAAGGAGAUACUUUCUAAACGACGACGACGACGACGACGAUGACGACGAUGAUGGGGACAACUACGUCAACGAUGAAAUACUUCUAUCGAUAUUAAGAAUACCAACUAUAGAUACUUGCAUCGUUCUUGAUUUUGAGAGUCAUAUAUAUAUAUAUAUAUAUAUAUAUAUAUAUAUAUAUAUUUAUGCUUUAAAUUACCUUUUUUUUACCUUAACAUAAAGAAAAAAGAAUACGAUAAUAAAAAGUAAAUGGCUCGUACGUACAUACGUACAAACGUAGGUAGAUAGGUAGUUUGCUAUCUAUAUAACACAUAUAAGUAGUUAUGUAGACAUGUUGUUUACAGGAAAUAAGCUACUAUUAGAUCUAUUAUAAAUAACAUAAGAAAAAGAAAUGUGUACAAUAAAAUGCGAUCUUUUCUUUAUGACCAUUUGACCACGAUGUGAUGGUGACAUCGAGUAGUAACAAGUAAUAAAGUUAAGUAAUAUUUACUAACAGGUAAGGUAGGGCCGCGCUCGUAGCAGGUCCUCGGGGAAUGCAAUGGUCUUUUCUGAAUCGUAUCGAGACAGAGCAGCCCACGAAGCGCAUAAAAUGCGUACAUUCAAAAAAAAAAAAAAAAAAGGAAAAGAGAGGGAGAGAGAGAGAGAGUUGAAUAAAUUAUUCAUUCGAAAGAUAUGAAACUUCGAAACAGUUUUCUCUCCCUCUAUCAAAAAAGAAGAAAGAAAAAUAAAAGAUAAAUAAGUAAAUAAAUAAAAAAUAAAUAAAAAGAAUAAAAAAUCUAUUCGAGUAACGAGGACGUCAAUUGAUGAUCCUUAUAGGACAUUAUUAUUAUUAUCAUCUAUCUAUUAUUUAAAAAAAAAAUUUUUUUUCUUCGUUUUCUUCUCCUUACUACUACUAUUAUUAUUAUUAUUAUUAUUAUUAUUAUUAUUAUUAUUAUUAUUAUUAUUAUUAUUAUUAUAAAAUAUGGCUUUGGCUUUGGACUAAUUAAACGGAUGGAUUUACAUUGAACGGCUCGUCUUUAUCGGCGAUUUCCCCUUCGAUCAAUCCAGACUCUCGGCGUCAUUGCACAAAGAUAGAUUCGCAACUACCCCAUAAUGUACGUCACCGAGUUUAUGAGGCUUGAAAAGGCCAUUCGGCUGCACCUUUGGCGGUCGAGCUAAAGGACGUGAUUAUACGAGUCGCUGAAAAGAGAGCUCUCGCUCCUUUCCGCGUAUAGCUCGAAAUCGAUGAUACGAGUCGUCGACUUUAUCCCCUGCGGAGAGAGAGAAAGAAAGAGGGAGAAAGAGGUAGCGGGGGAGAGCUUCGCAAAGAGUUCGACGAUGUAUAGAAACCCAUUAACGCACAAAAUGGUAUUACCAAGUAAACACGAUUCUUUCUCGCAGCUUUCCCGUUGCGUCGAUUUUUGUUUCUUUACUUCUUUUUUUUCUUUCUCCUUUCCUUCUUUUUUUUUUUACCUCUCUCCUCUUUAUUUUUUGACGUUUCCAUAGAGAUCGUUCUUAAAGUUUACGUGACGUUUCACUUCAUAUAUCUAUCUUCGUAUAUAUUUCGUGACGUUUCUCUUCAUAUAUGUAUCUUCGUGUGUUUGUGUGUGCGUGUGUGUGUGUGUGUGCGCGCGCGCACGUGUGUGUAUAAAAGUGUCUGACGGACAUACUGAGGAGAACAAAAUUUUUCUAGAUCGGCUCAAAGUUUCUAGAUGAUCUUAAGAAGCAAUUUUUCUCUUAGAAACUUUUUAGACGAAUUUUUUUCUUUUCUUUUUUUUUUCUUUCCUUUUUUCUUUCUUUUCUUCUUUUUUUCUUUACCAGAUAGUAAAACUAUGUAUAGAUAAGUCUAAGAACUUUUGAUCCACUCUCUUCGGCGUAAUAGUUUUGUGAAUGUACGAAAAGGGAACAAUUUUAAUGCUUAAAUGUUUCUUAUUUUCUUUCUUUUUCUUUUUUUUUUUUUUUUUUCGUAAAUCUAAUGAUUCCUUCCAAUUUGAUGUAACUUUUAAAAGAAAUUCCGCAUAAUGUUUCCUGAUACGCACAGAAUAAUCUAUCAAAUCGUUUAACAAGCGAGCGCGUCGAAACAUAAGAGAGUAGCAAAACCCUUACCUUCCCUCUUAACUGUGUGCAUGAUGUCACGUUAGGGAAAAGUUUUAGAUAGAAGUUUACGUUCGAAGUUUAGUUUGUGCGUUCACGUUUACUUCUACUUGAGAAGGGUAAGAACAACUUUUGCAUUCUAAUGGAUUUUCGGUAAUUACGUUCCCACGCCAGAUACAUAUACGUAGAUAUUCGCGGUUUGGUAACUACGAAAUAUUAAAAAGUUAUUUUUACUUGUAAUGUAUAUCUAAUAUUUUUAAUGGAAAUCGCGAGUCGCUUUUUUCUUUUUAUUUUUUUUUUCUUUUUUUCUUUUUCUUCUUUUUUUUUUUUUUUUUUUUUAAGAACUUCGAUCAUUACGUCUGGAUUGGCCAAAAAUAUUUUCUUUCUUUUUAAUUUCAAUUCUUAAAUCAAUUAAAUUUAAUUCAAGAAUUAAAUCACUUCUACGUUUAUUUAUUCAAUAAAUUUUAUAUUUAAUUAAUAA